GACAGAGGUGCCAAGCGUUAGGCGGAAUCACUGGGCUUAAAGCGUGUGUAGGCGGAUUUGUAAGUACCUUGUGAAAUCCCACGGCUCAACCGUGGAACUGCUCGGUAUACUGCUUAUCUUGAGCCACUUAGGGGCUACCGGAACAAAUGGUGGAGCGGUGAAAUGCGUAGAUAUUGGGAGGAACACCAGUGGCGAAGGCGGCUCACUGGACCGGUACUGGACGCUGAGACGCGAAAGCGUGGGGAGCAAACAGGG
rnacentral:rRNA from 1 species